GCGAGUCGUGAGUCUUAGGGACUCGGCAUACUGCUCAGUAACACGUGGAUCAUCUGCCCUAUCGUCUGGAAUAACCUCGGGAAACUGAGAAUAAGGCCGGAUAGUUCACAAUGCCUGGAACGGUUUGUGAAUCAAGGUAGGAUGGGUCUGCGGCGUAUCAGGUUGUAGGGGGUGUAAAGGACCCCCUAGCCUUCGACGCGUACGGGUGUUGGGAGACAUAGCCCGGAGAUGGAUUCUGAGACACGAAUCCAGACCCUACGGGGUGCAGCAGGCGCGAAAACUUCACACUGCAGGAAACUGUGAUGAGGGAACUCCUAGUGCAUGCACUAUGUGUAUGUAGAUCCUACUCUUAACAAGUAGAGGGAAAGGGCUGGGAAAGACCGGUGCCAGCCGCCGCGGUAAUACCGGCAGCUCAAGUGGUCGUCGCUUUUAUUGGGCCUAAAACGUCCGUAGCCUGUUUGGUAAAUCUGUGGGUAAAUCAAUCCGCUCAACGGAUUGAAUUCUGCAGAGACUGCCAGACUAGGGACCGGGAGAGGUGUGGGGUACUCGAGGGGUAGGGGUAAAAUCCUGUCAUCCUUCGAGGACCACCAGUUGCGAAGGCGCCACACUGGAACGGAUCCGACGGUCAGGGACGAAGCCUAGGGGCACGAACCGGAUUAGAUACCCGGGUAGUCCUAGGUGUAAACGCUGUGAACUUGGUGUCGGGGGUCCGC
rnacentral:rRNA from 1 species